rnacentral:rRNA from 1 species
UACGGAGGGUGCAAGCGUUGCUCGGAAUUAUUGGGCGUAAAGGGUAGGUAGGUGGUCUCAUUUGUCAGGGGUGAAAGCCUUGGGCUUAACUCAAGAAGUGCCCCUGAAACGGUGAGACUGGAGUCCUGGAGAGGGUCGUGGAAUUCCCGGUGUAGCGGUGAAAUGCGUAGAGAUCGGGAGGAACACCAGAGGCGAAAGCGGCGACCUGGACAGGUACUGACACUCAACUACGAAAGCGUGGGGAGCAAACAGG